rnacentral:rRNA from 1 species
ACUCCUACGGGAGGCAGCAGUAGGGAAUAUUGGACAAUGGGCGCAAGCCUGAUCCAGCCAUGCCGCGUGAGUGAAGAAGGCCCUCGGGUUGUAAAGCUCUUUUGUUGGGGAAGAAAAGCCUUGGGUUAAUACCCCGGGUCCGUCGACAGGUACCCCGAAAGAAUCAAAGCACCGGACUAACCGUUCACUGUGCCAGCAGCCGCGGUAAUACGAAGGGUGCAAGCGUUACUCGGAAUUACUGGGCGUAAAGCGUGCGUAGGUGGUUCGUUAAAGUCUGAUGUGAAAGCCCUGGGCUCAACCUGGGAAUUGCAUUGGAUACUGGCGGGCUAGAGUGCGGUAGAGGGUAGUGGAAUUCCCGGUGUAGCAGUGAAAUGCGUAGAGAUCGGGAGGAACAUCUGUGGCGAAGGCGACUGCCUGGACCAGCACUGACACUCAGAUGCGAAAGCGUGGGGAGCAAACAGGAUUAGAUACCCU